AAAGGAAUAGACGGGGACCCGCACAAGCAGCGGAGCAUGUGGUUUAAUUCGAAGCAACGCGAAGAACCUUACCAGGGCUUGACAUCCUGCUGACAGGCCUGAUAACGAAGGCCCUCUCUUCGGAGCAGCAGAGACAGGUGGUGCAUGGUUGUCGUCAGCUCGUGUCGUGAGAUGUUGGGUCAAGUCCCGCAACGAGCGCAACCCUUGCUACUAGUUGCCAUCAUUAAGUUGGGCACUCUAGUGGGACUGCCGGGGACAACCCGGAGGAAGGCGGGGAUGACGUCAAAUCAUCAUGCCCCUUAUGUUCUGGGCUACACACGUGCUACAAUGGCUGUCACAGAGGGCGAAGGAGAAAUCCGGAGGUAAUCCCUAAAGGCAGUCCCAGUUCGGACUGCAGGCUGAAACCCGCCUGCACGAAGUCGGAGUUGCUAGUAAUCGCAGAUCAGAAUGCUGCGGUGAAUGCGUUCCCGGGUCUUGUACACACCGCCCGU
rnacentral:rRNA from 1 species